rnacentral:rRNA from 1 species
UACAGAGGUCCCGAGCGUUGUUCGGAUUCACUGGGCGUAAAGGGCGCGUAGGCGGCCUGAUAAGCGUGCGGUGAAAGCCCGGGGCUCAACCCCGGGUCGGCCGUGCGAACUGUCGAGCUGGAGCACUGUAGAGGCAGGUGGAAUUCCGGGUGUAGCGGUGGAAUGCGUAGAGAUCCGGAAGAACACCGGUGGCGAAGGCGGCCUGCUGGGCAGUGGCUGACGCUGAGGCGCGACAGCGUGGGGAGCAAACAGG